GGAACAGGGUGCCGGCGCCUCUGGUUAACCGGCUGUCCGACAGGGCAGGCCGGGUAGCUACGCGCCAGCCGAUAAGGCCUGAAAGCAUCUAAGGCCGAAGCGGCCCCUGAAAAUAGGCGUCCAGUCCGGGUUCUCUCGAAAGGGAGGACUCGGACGCGGGCUGGGGCUAGAAGACCCCGUUGAUAGGCCGGGGGUGUACGCGCCAAGCUUCGGCGAGGCGCUCAGCCCACCGGUACUAAUCGCCCGAGGCUUCCAUU
rnacentral:rRNA from 1 species